GAAUUCACAAUGUGAGAGAGAGAGAGAGAUCAAAUUUCCCGAAGAAUAUAUCUGAUCCCGUCAGAGAAAGAGAGAGAUAGAGCGCUCGCAAAAGGAAGAUAUAUCGGCCUUAACCAAAGAAACGGGAAAUUGGAGAGGAGGAAGGGAGAAUUUUAUCAAGGCGGUGGUUGUUUGUGAAUUUUGCAAAAUGGAAUAGCAGAGAAGAAUUGGUGGGGAGAGUUUGGGUUGGCUGAGCUCCCAAGGGUUUGUUUGUAUUUAGUUGUAAUUGAUUUUAAAUAUUUUUUUCGAAUUUUCAUUUUUUGUUAGUUGAUUUCGUUAUUUGAGAAUUGAGUUGUGAUUUUUCUAUAUUUGGUUCUUCUGCAUGUGAUGAUUUGUAUUUGGAGAGUUGAGAAAAUGAAGAAUCCGUGAUUUCUGUUUGAUGAAUUGAUCUAUCUUUCAUCAUCUUUUCGUUCCCCCAAUCUUUUUUAAAAUUCUGUUCUUACUUAAGUUUAAAGGUUGGGGGAACGAAAAGAUGACUUAGAAUUUGAAAGACACAGAAAUUGCACCAAAGUGAUUAGGCUUAGUCUAGAUGACUUAGAAUAAAAGGAUGGUUUUGUUUCUCAGUUGAAUUGCAGUAAGUUGUUUUUCCAUUUGUCUAUGCAGGUUUCCAAGUAGGGAUUUGGGUGUAUGGGACUAUAAUGUGCCGGUGCCUGAAAAUUUUGGCAUAUCAAUGAUCAAGUGUGCAUAUGAUAGAGGAAUAACAUUCUUCGAUACAUCUGAUGUUUAUGGACCACAUGCUAAUGAAGUUUUUAUCGGAAAGGUGAAAUAUAAGCAAGGUAUUCUUCACCAUCAACCAAAGAAAGUGAAGGAGGACUUGGUCAUGAAAAACAUAGAUUUGGCUGGUGUUUAGAGCAAUGUGAUCAAUAACCAUGACAUAGAACUCAAAGAAGAAGAAAGUGCCUUGCUGAAGGCUUGAAGAUUCCAGUUUAGCCGCUUAGGCAUGUGAGAGUAAAGCAGCUCCAGUUUUGUCAUAUCAAUUUUUCUGCUUGGUGUUGUAAAUAUAUCAUUAUUAUUAGGUUUUCCAUAAGCAAGGUUCUGAUUUUUUUAUACUGAACCCUGCAAGUUUGGUUAAUCUAUUAUUGGAUUU